CAAUAGCGUAUAUUAAAGUUGUUGCGGUUAAAAAGCUCGUAGUUGGAUUUCUGUUGGGAACGACCGGUCCGCCCAUUGGGUGUGUAUCUGGCUUGUUCUCGGCAUCUUCUUGGUGAACGUUGCUGCACUUGACUGUGUGGAGCGCUACCCAGGACUUUUACUUUGAGGAAAUUAGAGUGUUUCAAGCAGGCAUAUGCCUUGAAUACAUUAGCAUGGAAUAAUAAGAUAGGACCUCGGUUCUAUUUUGUUGGUUUCUAGAGCUGAGGUAAUGAUUAAUAGGGAUAGUUGGGGGCAUUCGUAUUUAACUGUCAGAGGUGAAAUUCUUGUAUUUGUUAAAGACGGACUACUGCGAAAGCAUUUGCCAAGGAUGUUUUCAUUGA
rnacentral:rRNA from 1 species